AGUGAACGCUGGCGGUAGGCCUAACACAUGCAAGUCGAACGGCAGCACAGUAAGAGCUUGCUCUUACGGGUGGCGAGUGGCGGACGGGUGAGGAAUACAUCGGAAUCUACUUUUUCGUGGGGGAUAACGUAGGGAAACUUACGCUAAUACCGCAUACGACCUACGGGUGAAAGCAGGGGAUCUUCGGACCUUGCGCGAGCGAAUGAGCCGAUGUCGGAUUAGCUAGUUGGCGGGGUAAAGGCCCACCAAGGCGACGAUCCGUAGCUGGUCUGAGAGGAUGAUCAGCCACACUGGAACUGAGACACGGUCCAGACUCCUAAGGGAGGCAGCAGUGGGGAAUAUUGGAACAUGGGCGCAAGCCUGAUCCAGCCAUACCGCGGGGGUGAAGAAGGCCUUCGGGUUGUAAAGCCCUUUUGUUGGGAAAGAAAAGCAGCAGGUUAAUACCCCGCUGUUCUGACGGUACCCAAAGAAUAAGCACCGGCUAACUUCGUG
rnacentral:rRNA from 1 species